rnacentral:rRNA from 1 species
CCUACGGGAGGCAGCAGUGGGGAAUUUUCCGCAAUGGGCGAAAGCCUGACGGAGCAAUACCGCGUGAGGGAGGAAGGCUCUUGGGUUGUAAACCUCUUUUCUUAAGGAAGAAAAAAAUGACGGUACUUAAGGAAUAAGCAUCGGCUAACUCCGUGCCAGCAGCCGCGGUAAUACGGAGGAUGCAAGCGUUAUCCGGAAUUAUUGGGCGUAAAGCGUCCGUAGGUGGUUUUUCAAGUCUGCUGUCAAAGACCGUGGCUUAACCACGGAAAGGCAGUGGAAA